UUAACUCUAAACCCUAAGUUUUGGAUUAACUAACCCUAGGGGUAUAAGUGUACAUUACCUCUUUAAUGAAACCUAUUUUUGUGACUUUGAGCCUUGAGUGCUACUUUGGGAACAAAAACUUGGUUUAGUGCUAUUCUAGUCUUUUUCUCAUAUAAAUAUAUAUGUAUAUAGAUAUAUAUAUAUAUGUACAUAUAGAUAUAUAGGUAUACAUAUAGUUCUUAUGUUUUUUGUUACCAUUAAUGUAGGUGCGGGACAAUGCGCUCCGUCGACCAUUCAGAGCCAUAAUGUGUACAUAAAAAUGUAAAAACAACUAUUAACUAGAUUUUAACCCGUGCAACCGUACAGGUGUUUGUUUU
rnacentral:lncRNA from 1 species